GGAGACGUGGCCGAGUGGUCGAAGGCGCUCCCCUGCUAAGGGAGUAACGGGGUGACUCGUUCGAGGGUUCGAAUCCCUUCGUCUCCG
rfam:Halocynthiibacter arcticus strain PAMC 20958, complete genome.